rnacentral:misc_RNA from 1 species
AUAACAUACUGGAUACUUAAUUACAACAAAAGAAAUCCAAACCCAAAACCACAUAAGCACAAACCCAACACAGUAAACCUUAGGUCCAAUGACCCAGAAAGAAGAUUCAGAAUAGCAAAACUCAGCUAAAGCAAAGGCCAGCAGUGCUGCACACUAGUAACGACGAGACAAACGGCUCCAUUCACACCAAAAAUUGGGCAGCCAUUAAAAAACCAAUGGUAAGCAUAGACCAUGGGAGCCAAAGCCAUCGUAGGCCAAGACUAAUGCCCCAUCGAGGGUUGAUGCAGAGCUUUCUGGUAACUAAACCGAAGGUCAGCCGAAAGAGGACUUAGGCCGGCUAUAAACCCCAAAAGAUACCAUUAGCAAAAAUAGUAGAUCCCCACAGCGUAGAAGAGGUUAGUGAUUUUUCUACAAAAAGCACCACCUGUGAUCUUAGCCUAAGAGAAGAUUGGCACCUACAUGCAAGAAACCUAGUACAUAGAGAAACUAAAAAACUAAACAGAAAAGGCAGAUCUAAGGAAGAUUAGCGAUAGGAAAAACCACAAAAAGGAAGUAUGUACACCAAUCGAGUG